rnacentral:rRNA from 1 species
ACUAAAGAUAACCUUAUCAAGAGGAAUUGGCAUGGAAGUCCGCGAUGUGUUUUUUGUCAUCAUGAUGAGACAAUAAAACAUUUAUUCUUCCAAUGCAAAUUGGCUCGGUCUAUAUGGUCAGUCAUCCAUAUAGCUUCUGGCUUGUAUCCUCCUUGUAGUGUUGCCAAUGUAUUUGGCAACUAGUUACAUGGGAUUAAUCACAGGUUUAAAACUCUUCUUAGGGUGGGAGCGCUAGCCGUUAUUUGGUCGCUUUGA